rnacentral:lncRNA from 1 species
UACAAAAAUAAAUAAAUAAAAGCUUAAAAAGGAGGAGGGGGCAACGCCCCCUCUCCCACUCAAUCCCAAUAUGGUUAUUUUUUCUUUUUUUAAAAACAAAUUAAAAAACAAGCCAAUCAUUCUUUGACACGCGGCAGGAAAGAGAAUAAAUAAAUAAAUAAUUGAAAACCCCAAAGGCCAUAUAUCAGAAAAAACUAAGAGAAUAAAUUAGUUUAUCCUCUUUCUCCAACAAGUUUCUGCGUGUAAAAAAAUAAGUUCUUCUUCUCUCUCAAGUCAAAAUCUCUCCUUCAAAAAUAAUGUCUUCAACAAUAUAUCAAAUCAAAUAAGUAUGAGCAAAUCAUAAAUGGUAAAGAAGUAUACCAUGAUAAUCUUGAAUCGUUACUUGCGGUAGAGGAAGUGGUGGUCCGAUCGGAAAUAGAGAGGACACAUGGAGGGAGGUUUUCCACAGACGAGGAGGUUCGUGUUGUGGUGGUACGGAUGGCCGAUGGUUGAGCGAAGGAGGUCGAAGGCGUGUGUUUAUUUUGCUUGCAGCAAUCAGAGGUGGUGGCUUCGAUGUGCGGGCCGCGAAGUGAAAUUUUGUGGUUAGAUACAUUUCGAUUCGUCUCCUUGUGUUUCCUGGUGAAGAUGUUUCUAGUGAGUUCUACCUCAUUCUUCUUUUCUGGUUCUAUUUUUGAUCUUUAUGUUAUACAAUUGUUGUUGGUUAUGUUGCUGGAUUUGGAAAUCCACGUGAUUUUUCUGAUUGUUGUUGUUGUGUUUUUAGUUGCUGAUGUGGAUUCGUUGUUGUUGGUGAUAGAAAUGGUGAUGAUUUGUUUGUUAGUAAUGAUUGUGUUUUUUCUUUUGGGGUAAGUUUUUGUGUGUGAUGGAUUUGUGUAGUGAGGAUGAUGAUGAUGGUGAAUCAUUUUGUACAUGUUCAAAAUUUGUUUUUUUUGUUGAGUUUUUAUUGAAUUUUCUGUUGUAAUAAAUUUGAAGAAUGAAUGGUAUAACUUUGUGGUUUAUGUGAGAUUUGCAGGGAGUUUAAUGUUAAUUGAUGUUUGAAGGAAAAAUGAUUUUUCCAGAUUUUAACUAAUAUAGAAGUAUGGAAAGUGAAUUGUUUUAUGUUUGUGAAGCAAAGGAAUAAGUUUAAAUUGUGAUGAUGAAAGGUUAUGAUAUUGUUAGAAGUUAAUGUUAAUGAUGAUGUAAUUUGGAAGUUUAAGCUUUGUUGGAUGUAGGUUGAGUUUACAGGUUGAUGUCAGUGAUGAAAUAAAGGUUGCACAAACUUAGAAAUCUAGGUUUUUGAUUUUGAAUCAAUAUGAAAAAAAAAACAAGUUGUUUGACUUUUGUAUGGUAAUAAAAGGUGUAGUUUUAUAUACCAAAGGGAAGACUGAAAUAAAAUAAAUAAAUUUUGUGAUGGAAAGAGUCAUGAUCGGUCAUUUGAAUUUGGAUGCCUCGGGUGAAUCAAAAGAGUGGUGCCCCUAUAAUUUUUUUAAACAAUAAAUACAUAAGGAUAAAAAAAAUAAUUGGAUAAAAAAUACAUUUUCAUUUGACAUUAUGCAAAAAGAAUACAAGUAUGGAUCUUUGAAUCAAUAUUUAUACUACAUCAAAACAUAAACCACUAUAAAGAGACUUAUUAUUCUUUUUCUUCUUCUUCUUCUUCUUCUUGAUCCGAUCUUUCUUUCUAUAAAAAAAUUGGCCAAAACUUUAAAUUAUUUAAAUAUCAUCUUCUUAGAAUUUUUUUUGUUGUAAAAUCAUUAAUAAUUCAUUCAUAAUCAAGGUUCAUCAAAAAAAUAUUUUCAAUUGAAAUCAACACAAGACUAUUUUAUCUAUCUUGUAACAUAGUGGAUCUCAAAUAAGAUUUUAAUAAUUUUAAUUUAGAAAAAC